ACAUGCGCAGUACACAUCGUGUUUUGUCAUUAGGUCUUGUGCAGACUCCAACACAGUAGGUGGUGAUAAUGCACCAGAGCAACCCGCCAUAAAACCAAGACGAUUUUUAAAGAUUUCUUCACGAUGUAAGCAAGAAUGGCUGCGAUAGCAAGCUUUCAGGUUAAUCAACAGAGCUAUCAGCUUCUACAGUUUAUUCACUCUCAGACACAGCGACUUUUGCAGCAAUAUGAAACACAGCGGAAUCAAAUGGAUAUGGAUUUUCUCUAUACUCGUUUCGAAAAUCUCCUUUCUAUUCUUGAAAGAUGUAGCCAAAAUGGUGUUUUAACAGAAAUUGAUGACAUACUACACAGCAUGCAAAGAGUAUUGUACUUGUUGCAAGCCCAAACUCAUGCAACUCAUGGAUUUAGGCCUGCCAGGAUCAGAACUGGAGACAGAGGAUGCCCAUACUGGGACAUUUCCCCUGAGCAGUUGGAAUACCUUUUGGAAUUUAAUUUCACAGUAAAGCAAAUCGCACAAAUGUUUUGUGUAAGUUAUAGAACAAUAAGAAGAAGAAUGUCUGAGUAUGGCUUGUCAGUAAAAAUGUAUUACAGUGACAUUACAGAUGAGGACCUCAGACAACUUGUUUGUCAUUUCAUCAGAGAAUGUCCUGACUCCGGAAUAAAGCGAGUCAGUGGAUACCUCAACAGUGUUGGACUGAGAGUUCAGCGGUCCCGAGUAAUGGAAACGCUAAGAACAGUAGAUCCAGUGGGUACAAUAUGUCGUGGACUUGGAAUAAACAUUAUACAGAGAAGAGUCUACUCUGUUCCAGCUCCCAUGGCAUUAUGGCAUAUUGACGGAAACCAUAAGUUGAUACGAUGGAGAAUUGUGAUCCAUGGGGGGAUAGAUGGGUACAGUAGAAAAGUCAUGUUCCUGCAUGCAAGUGACAACAACAGAGCCUCGACUGUUCUGUCUUUAUUUGUUGCUGCUGUGCAGCUCUUUGGGGUACCUAAAAGAGUUCGUAGCGAUAAGGGUGGAGAGAAUGUUGAGGUGGCACGCUUUAUGCUUGAGCAUCCAGAUAGAGGAACAGGAAGUUUUAUUACCUGACGCAGCGUACACAAUCAACGAAUUGAAAGACUUUGGAGAGAUGUUUGGUGUGCAGUGACAGUUAACUAUCAUUCUGCACUCCAACAUCUCUCCAGUGCCGGUGCUCUGAAUCCUGACAGUGAACUUGAUAUGAUUUGUCUUCAUUAUGUGAUGCUUCCAAGAAUCAACAUGCAUAUCCAGCUCUUCAAGCAAGCAUGGGAUCGGCAUGCGAUUUCCACAGAGCAUGGGAGGUCACCACAGCAGCUUUGGAUUGAAGGACAGUUACAGAACAUGGAUCAAAUUUGUAACCCACUUUCUGAGCAGACAUAUUUGGAGGAGCACAGCAUUGACUGGGAGGGACCAACACCAGUGGACAGUGAUGACAUUAUUGAAGUUCCCCCACCACCUGAAAAUCUGCACAGUGCUGUUUUUCAGUUUCUUCAAGAAAGAGUUGAUCCACUUGGCGCUAGCACUUGCUUUGGAAUUGACAUUUUAUUAGAGACAUUACGGAUGUCAAGGGAGCAGUUUGAUCAUUUUUAACAUGCAUUUAAGGGAAGGUUACCAUAGCCUAGUCUGAACAGACACAAUAAUUGCAGCAGUAUGUAUUGUGAAAAUCUGUAAAUAAGUUGAUUAUUAGACUACUCAAUACUUUUCUAUAUGAUGUUAAAAAUAAUUUCCUUAAGUAGAUUUUAAAUAUACCAUCUUUAAUUUCCUCUGUAAUUUGCUCUGGUAAUAGUUUUUUUUAAGUACAAAAACGUAACACAAAGGCUUUACUAACACUGAUUUAAAAACAAAUGGAUUUAUUGAUUAUUAUCAAUAAAACAAUAUUUUGAAAGUGUUUGAAAUUUUAAAUCAAUAUUGUAAACUUUAA